CGUGCUAAGGUAGCAUAAUCAGUUGACUUUUAAAUGGAGUCUGGAAUGAAAGGAAAAACGGAAUUUAGCUGUCUCUAAUGUUUUAUUAAAAAGUUACUAAUUAAGUGAAAAGGCUUAAAUAAGAUAAAAGACGAUAAGACCCUUAGAGUUUUGGAUUUCGUUGGGGCGACGUAGAGCCAAUUUGAACGCUCUUAUUAAUAUUUGACGAUUAUUUAUGUUUAGAUAAACUACCUAAGGGAUAACAGCAUAAUCUUUUUUAAGGUUUGUGACCUCGAUGUUG
rnacentral:rRNA from 1 species